UUCCAACAUCCUAGUUUGAGUUUGACUUUAUACACCCAAAUGGGUCUUUCUAUUAAAUGCAUGCUCAGAAAAAAAAGUUUGGCCAAAAGGUGUGUGGUUCAAUUAGUGAUGUUCUGUGCUGUCAUUUCACAUUUGGACUCCAAAUUAUGUAAGUUCGAUUAAUUUAUUCAUCAUUGAUUGGCAAGAACAUAAACAAGUAUCAUUGCUUUGUAUGAUAGUUUAGUUAGUUGACUUUGAUGUUAUAUAUAGAUGGCAUUUACACACUAUACGGAAAUAUACUCAAGUCUCCAAUUCUUUCUAGCAACAUAGAUAUUUAUAUCUAUGGUUUUUGUUUUUAACUUUUCAAAAAAAUCCUGACUUGUAUGGAUGAAAUGAUAACUUAAUCAUUAGAGCCACAUUGAUAUUGCCGUGGAAACAAAGGAUUCAUGAUUUUUGUAGUUAGUUUAUUGAAAGCAAAAUUCGCUUGGUGCCAUUGUUCCAAUAAGGGCUACUGGAAGUUUGGAAUUUCGACUAAGCAUCACGUGAAAUUUAAAUCAGGAAAGUUGAACUAUGUUUAAUCAUGUUAGGCACACGAUUACAAUAAGUAGUAAGAUGGAGUGUACAUUAGUGAAUAAACUUUGUUCAAAAUAAUGUUGUGGAAGAUUUCUAUCUAAUAUCUAUUGGUGAAAGUUGCGGUGAAGAAUGCCAUAUGUAAUGCAUGGAAUUCGAGGGAAUUUCUCAAGAGCAAACGUUGAAGAGUUCCCAUAUGAAACACCCUUUUUUUUUCCGGCAUUGUGCUGCUCCAUUCACUUCCCCACUCAUCAUCACAUUAAGUCGUGUUAGUCCAAAAUAUUCAUUGUCAGCUUUAUGAAUCUUAUCCUUCUCUUUGAACUCUACAAUUAAUAUUCACUCUAAAAUCCUUUUUAUCCUCUUCCUGUACCUGUCACUCAUUCAACUUAAUUCAAUCUAACUUUUCUAAGUAAAAGAAAAAAAUUUGUAAACGUUGAUAUUGUCUUAAUUCUUUUUUCUCAUUUAAUUUAUUAGAGCUGCACAUAAUUUCCCUCGUAUCGAUCUUCUUUUUUUUGUCUUAGUAAUAUUACACAUCCAUCUUAGUGUUCUAGCUUUGCUACUUUUUUAUAUAUAUCUAUAUCUUACAGUGCUCACCUUGUGAGCACAACAAAUCUUAGAUAUUGAAGGCUAUUACAUUUAUCUCUGUCCAUUUUCACUAUUCUCUGACCCUUUUUUUUUAUUAUUGAAACUACAUUUUGUAUGUCCAGGUUUAAUUAUGCUUAACAUAAAUCUUUAGUUGCUAAAUUUUUUCUAAGAAAUGAGUUUCGAAUUUAAUCUAUUGCACUUUUUUCCAUUAGCACAAUAUCAUUAACAAAUAAGAUAAAUAAAGGAUUGAUUCAAUGCACCACUUACAUACUGAAUAUUAUUGGUUCUGUCAUUCUAUAAGGUAAGAAGCAUUUAGGUAACUGAUUUUUUAGUAUUUAAUAUUCUAAUUAGAAUAGUUGGGUUGGCUUUCAUACUCAUGACUUAGUGAUUUUCUAUUGGUUUCAACUAUGCAAAUUAGGUAAAGAUCAUUUUCUUAAAACAAUGUCUAUUUUUUGAGUUAAAUUUUGUACAUGUCCAAAUAAAGGUGUUUUAUGUAUUUCUAUGCUCUGGUGUUAAUGAUACCUUAGUGUAUGCUUUUAUAUGCAGUGUUACGUAUCAAGCCUGAAUAUCAAUUUUUACAUGAUGUAUAUGAAUAAUUUUCGACAAAUCUAAGUUGAUCAAUGAUCUACUUUGCUGAUUAAUUAUCUAGGCAAGAGUCAUCUUGAGUGGACCAGAUACAUGGAGCGUUUAGAAGUCAAAUGUGGCUACCUAAAGCUUGCCUCUCUCUUUUCUGUGCUUAACCACAUAAUCUAUUGGUCGUAUGUUUAUAUUUGUUUACCCAUUUUCUUUGCCCUUUCCUACCUUACAAGUCAAUUUGAUGAUACCUUUGAGAAAUAUUUAGUUAGAAAAGAAAUAAUUGAUAAGUUUUUGUAGUCUCUUCUCAUUAGUUGUAUGUGGUUGAUUAAGGCAAGAAAAGCCAAAAGGUGAGAAAGGCAAGUAUAUGAUUCAUGUGCCCACAUUAAUUUGCAGGCACUUGAUGCUAUUUUGCCUAAUGUUAUUAUGCUUGUUAUAGCUCUUUGUUUUAGAUGAUGAAAAAGAAGCUCAUGGUUGCUCGUCCUGUUGAUGUUUUAGCUUAGUGGAAGGUCUCUUGUUGUCUAGCGAUAACAAAAGAGCAACUCCAAUAUAUUUGCUGAAGUUGGUGGUUUAAGAGCAUACACUUUCUUUUUUAUUACACACUGCUUCGGAGAUUGUCAUAAAUCAAUCAUAUAAAGAGCACAAAUAAAACAGAACACUUUCUUUUACUCUGUUUUCCCUUGAGAAUUCUUUUUGAGGCCUAAAAACGAUUUGAGACCAGAGUUCAAAUGUCAAUAUUCAUCUCUAAUUCUUACUCGACUGUCUUACCUCUUUAUCUCUUUUCAGCUGCUAAACUAGCAGAGGUAGUGGCAUAACUUUGAAUUAACGAAGUACAGGAGCAGCAUGGUUCGUACGGUAUCGAAAUGUCUAAACGUAGUUUCUUGUUUCUUCUGGAUUUCUAAAAUUUGGCAGCAUAAGAAUUUGUCUAGCAAUGAAGCAUUUUCUGUAUCGGUUCAACUGUAUAUGACUUCGUGCUCAUCGAUAGGUUGGAGUUCAGUGGAUGGACUGAUGGCAGGGAGAUGGAGUUGCAGCCAUCGGCGCCUGGUUUCUUUCAUCCUUAUGCAGUGUUGAUACCCAAUGGAGCGGCGCCGAAUGAAGCAAAAAGAGCUAGAGAGGCUGUCGGCGCUCCGGCAGCGAUGACGCCCAUGGAUCAUAGCCGCUCCGAUAAAAUCUAAACAUUGUUUCCACCUCCGCUGUUUCAACUUCCAUGAGGAACAGAGUCAACUACCUGUAGUUGUCUCCAUUGGAUUUUGCCUCUUGUCUGCCUCUAUUUCUUUUAUACUCUCUAAAGCUUGCCGAUAAAACGAGAGAUGGAUGAUAUCGAGCAGAUUAAUCUACAAUUAGGGCAAGCGGCUAUGGCGGAUGUUGGCUCAGAAAUAGCUACAGUGGACAUUGUGCUGAGCCCCUAGUGUGGUUGAGGAAGGAAAGGCCUUUCGGCUCGCGGCCAAGGCCCCCGCAGCCCUACGGCUCACGAGUGAGCCCCUCACCGCCUGUCUCCUAGCGAGUGAGCCCUUUGCUGCCCGUCUGCUCGCAAGCAUGAGAUUGGGGCUUGAGGUGAGUAGGGAAAUCAUGACGAAGGAGGGAGUAGAGAGCGAGAUUGAUGAGGGGGAUAUGAAGUCACUUGGAGCUUUGGGAGGCAGAACCGGAUUUGAAAUCAUCAAAGAGAGACUUCCACUGGAGCUGCUUCAUUGAUUGUUGCUUCUCCAUCAUGAAGUAGAUCUUGCCGGGGUAGCGCCGCGACGGAUAUGGAAGAGGCGUGCAACGUUGGGAUGGCGGUCGGAAUCGGAGUUGCAGCAAAGGAUCCGAUUUUGAGGGGAUGAAAAAAUACCUCAAAAUGAAUCCACAGACGUUUUCGUCAACCGUCCAUCCAUUGUUUGAGGAGAGGUAAACAAGAUGAAUAAUCCAUGGUGAAGUAAACACUAAAAAAAAAUUCCCGUGAAAAACUUUCCUUUCCCUCGCCCAUCUAUCCAUCCCAGUAAACAGAGCAUGAGUGACUAUUUAACCUCUGCACCAAUCUCCAAACUUUACAAGGGAAUUACGACGUUUUGAAAAAGGUUACAAAC